rnacentral:rRNA from 1 species
GGGUUGUGAGGUUAAGCGACUAAGCGUACACGGUGGAUGCCCUGGCAGUCAGAGGCGAUGAAGGACGUGCUAAUCUGCGAUAAGCGUCGGUAAGGUGAUAUGAACCGUUAUAACCGGCGAUUUCCGAAUGGGGAAACCCAGUGUGUUUCGACACACUAUCAUUAACUGAAUCCAUAGGUUAAUGAGGCGAACCGGGGGAACUGAAACAUCUAAGUACCCCGAGGAAAAGAAAUCAACCGAGAUUCCCCCAGUAGCGGCGAGCGAACG